UACGUAGGGUGCAAGCGUUGUCCGGAAUUAUUGGGCGUAAAGAGCUCGUAGGCGGUUUGUCGCGUCUGCUGUGAAAACUCAGGGCUUAACCCUGAGCCUGCUUCCGAUACGGGCAGACUAGAGGUAUGCAGGGGGAGAACGGAAUUCCUGGUGUAGCGGUGGAAUGCGCAGAUAUCAGGAGGAACACCGGUGGCGAAGGCGGUUCUCUGGGCCAUAACUGACGCUGGAGGAGCGAAAGCGUGGGGAGCGAACAGGA
rnacentral:rRNA from 1 species